GGCAUAUAGAAGUUCCCGGGCUAGGGGCUGAAUUGGAGCUACAGCUGCCGACCUACACCACAGAUCAGAGCAGUGCCGGAUCCCUAACCCAGUGAGCAAGGCCAGGAAUCGAACCCAAAUCCUCAUGGAUCCUAGUCAGGAUCAUUAACUGCUGAGCCACGAAGGAAACUCUCCUAGCCACAUUUUUAAACAUGGGGGUGUGUUUUAAAAAUCCAAAUUUCUGGUUUUUCUAAAUACCUGUGACUCAGAUUCACUGGGCUGCAUUGGAGCCCAGAAAUCUGCAUCUUUAACAAGCCACACUAAGUGAUUCUAAUGCACAUGGUCUCUUAACAGGCUGGGAGAGAUGACUGAAGGCACUGUAAGAUGCCACGGCUCCUUCUGAAUCAUUGAAGAACCAUGAAGUGACGUGCCUUCAAAUGUAUUUUGAUGCUUGGAAAGCCGGUAACCCCGUGUGAGUCACAUGUAAUAGCUCUCUGCCAUCCGCAUACCCAAUAGUACAGAAGUAUUCAAAGCCUGAGCAUGUUGGGCAACAGGUAACUCACCUCUGAGUGUCAGAAACGGGUUCUAGAUUCAAUAUUCCCACCGGGAAACAGAGGCCUAGGAAGACUGGCUUCUUGCCUGGUGUCUGCCUGCCCACCGACCAGACCACAUUUCAGAACAUGUGUUCUCAUCUCUCCCGACAGCCUGCCUCUUCCACAGCAGGAGCCACUGUCCUUCUCUGCAGGGUCAGCUCUGAGACCUCCCCAGGGAAGCCCCCCUACCCUCGGAGAAGCCUCCUGAGUCCUGGCAGCUGGAGAGGAGGGAGCUGGGAUGCUGAGAAGACAGCCGAGGGGUCUGUGAGGCUAUUGCAGAGAGGACAGAGGGGGCAGAGCAAGAACGAGUAUUUGAUGCCUGGGAGGGAUGGACUCCACGAGGCCUUCAGGGUGACUAGAUGGGGGCUGCAGUUCUUCAGAGAAAAUAUCCACCGCACUGCGUUGCCAUCUUCUGUUUGCUGGGCAGUCUCUUGUGUGAGAUUUCAAACUCCUUAAGGCCAAGGUUCUUAGUCAUCUGUGUUGGCAUCAGCUCCAAGCACAGAGCUGAAAAGCAGUGGAGUGAUGGAAUAUUGGCACAGGAAGGAAAUGGAAUGACAGCCCCAUCCAUGGAUCAUAUUGUACCCUUCUCAAUCAGAGUGCAACCACACACUCACUCCAGGGCCUGACAGCAGAGACGUAUAUGUAAUUUACACACACACAUAUACAUUAAUUUAUAAAAGUAUAAAUAGUUUUCAUAACUGAUUGUGGCAACCAAAUUUGAGCCUGCUUAAAAUCUUGUGCUAUUACACACUCUUAAAGACUUUGGGGCUGAUCUAAGGAAUUGUGAAUGAUAAAGCGGCAGUUGGUUAGGAGACAAUAUCUGUAAAACUUUCGGCCUUUUCAUUUAAUUAAAAUCCAAUAUCUGAGUGCGCCCACCCAGAUGUAGGUCAGUCCGAAACUAGAAUGUGAAUAGCUUGUGGCACUAGACUCCCAUUCAUGUGUGAAAGGAAAACCAAAACGAAUUGCUAUUGCUGAGCAAGCUCUAAAACGGAGCCAGGAGGCCACUGAGGAAGUGUGACUUAGGUACAUCUCAGCCUGGAUGGAAUCUAAUCCUUUGACUUUUGGGGGGGGGGGCACACUCGCAGCAUAUGGAAGUUCCCAGGCUAGGAGUCGAAUUGGAGGUGCCGGCCUACACCACAGCCACGGCAAUGCCAGACCUGAGCCACAUCUUCGAACUAUACCAUAGUUCACGGCAACGCUGGAUCCUUAACCUGCUGAGCGAGGCCAGGUAUCAAACCCACAUUCUUGUGGAUAAUAGUCGGGCUCAUUACUGCUGAGCCACAACAGGAACUCCCUCCUUUGACUAUUUAUUGUCCUAACAAAGGCAUUCAGAACAUCUGCCCGAAACUCAAGAUCCUGACUGGGGAGUUGUCAUUGUGGCUCAGAGGGUUAAGAACAUGACGUAGUGUCUGUGAGGAUGCAAUUUGGGUUCAAUCCCUGGUCUCACUCAGGGGAUUAAGGAAACAGUGUUGCCGCAAGCUGCAGCAUAGGUUGCAGCCAUGGCUCAGAUCCUGCAUUGGCUGUGGCCUCAGCUGCAGCUCAGAUGCAGCCCCUAGCCAGGAACUUCCACAUGCCAAUUGCAGCCCGUAAAAAGAAGAGAAAAAAAAAAAAA
rnacentral:lncRNA from 1 species